AACCACUAACUCAUGUAGCCCAUCUAUUGACCAUGUAUUCUGAACCAUGAGCACUUUGUCUGCUUUACACUGAUUUUGAAAUUCUAAAACACACUUUUUGCAACUAACUACGCACUGUUAUCUACAUACAACACAUUCAAAACUACAAGCC